AACGAACGCUGGCGGCAUGCCUAACACAUGCAAGUCGAACGAAGUCUUCGGACUUAGUGGCGCACGGGUGCGUAACGCGUGGGAAUCUGCCCUUGGGUGCGGAAUAACUUCUCGAAAGGGAUGCUAAUACCGCAUAAUGUCGUAAGACCAAAGAUUUAUCGCCCAAGGAUGAGCCCGCGUAAGAUUAGCUAGUUGGUGGGGUAAAAGCCUACCAAGGCGACGAUCUUUAGCUGGUCUGAGAGGAUGAUCAGCCACACUGGGACUGAGACACGGCCCAGACUCCUACGGGAGGCAGCAGUGGGGAAUAUUGGACAAUGGGCGAAAGCCUGAUCCAGCAAUGCCGCGUGAGUGAUGAAGGCCCUAGGGUUGUAAAGCUCUUUUACCAGGGAUGAUAAUGACAGUACCUGGAGAAUAAGCACCGGCUAACUCUGUGCCAGCAGCCGCGGAAU
rnacentral:rRNA from 1 species